rnacentral:rRNA from 1 species
AGAGUUUGAUCCUGGCUCAGGAUGAACGCUAGCGGCAGGCUUAAUACAUGCAAGUCGAGGGGCAGCGCGGUAGCAAUACUGGCGGCGACCGGCAAACGGGUGCGGAACACGUACGCAACUUACCCCUAACUAAGGGAUAGCCCAUAGAAAUGUGGAUUAACCCCUUAUAGUACGAUUGGGUGGCAUCACCUGAUUGUUAAAACUCCGGUGGUUAGGGAUGGGCGUGCGUCUGAUUAGGUAGUUGGUAGGGUAAUGGCCUACCAAGCCAACGAUCAGUAGCUGAUGUGAGAGCAUGAUCAGCCACACGGGCACUGAGACGCGGGCCCGACUCCUACGGGAGGCAGCAGUAAGGAAUAUUGGUCAAUGGACGCAAGUCUGAACCAGCCAUGCCGCGUGAAGGAUGAAGGUCCUCUGGAUUGUAAACUUCUUUUAUCUGGGACGAAACACUGGAUUUCUAUCCAGCUUGACGGUACCAGAGGAAUAAGCACCGGCUAACUCCGUGCCAGCAGCCGCGGUAAUACGGAGGGUGCAAGCGUUAUCCGGAUUCACUGGGUUUAAAGGGUGCGUAGGCGGGCAAGUAAGUCCGUGGUGAAAUCCUGCAGCUUAACUGCAGAACUGCCGUGGAUACUAUUUAUCUUGAAUGUUGUUGAGGUGAGUGGAAUAUGUCAUAGCGGUGAAAUGCUUAGAGAUGACAUAGAACACCGAUUGCGAAGGCAGCUCGCUAAACAAAUAUUGACGCUGAGGCACGAAAGCGUGGGUAGCAAACAGGAUUAGAUACCCUAGUAGUCC